rnacentral:rRNA from 1 species
ACGAACGCUGGCGGCGUGCCUAACACAUGCAAGUCGAACGGGACCGGGGGCAACUCCGGUUCAGUGGCGGACGGGUGCGUAACACGUGAGGAACAUGACUUUCGGCGGGGGAUAGCCGGCCCAACGGCCGGGUAAUACCGCGUACGACCCAAGGGAGACAUCUCCGCUGGGUGAAAGCAGCAAUGCACCGAAAGAGUGCCUCGCGGCCUAUCAGCUAGUUGGUGGGGUAACGGCUCACCAAGGCGACGACGGGUAGCUGGUCUGAGAGGAUGGCCAGCCACAUUGGGACUGAGACACGGCCCAGACUCCUACGGGAGGCAGCAGUGGGGAAUAUUGCGCAAUGGGCGAAAGCCUGACGCAGCGACGCCGCGUGUGGGAUGACGGCCUUCGGGUUGUAAACCACUGUCGGGAGGGACGAAUGCGCCGCAAGGCGAGUGACGGUACCUCCAAAGGAAGCACCGGCUAACUCCGU